GAGACCUUUGUGCCUGGCUGAACUCAAUUCUUUUCUCUUCUAAGACCGCUACCACUAGGCUUGUGGUGUUUCUGAUGCGUCUUGCUUUGCUUUCUCUGCAACUGUUUGGCGAGUGAAAGAAGAAAUUAAACUAUGAGAAUUCGGCAUCCUGACUUUUUUGAGACCGGUCUUCCACUCCCUUCAUGAUUUUUGAGCUUCUCUGGGGUUCCUUUCAGCUCUGGUUCGGGGAGGGAGGAGCAGUUGGGGGGAGCGUCUGGAACCGCUGCCCGGAAGGAGGGGAAAGUCACCCUUCAUCUUUGUGACUAGUCCACUUGUUGGCCUGGACCGCAGUCUCCAGUAUUUAAGGACCACUGGUCGCCCCAGCAAGUCCCUGUUGAGGCCCUCCCAUAUAGUAAAUACUGUAUGCCACGCACCAGAAUGGAAAGAGAUUUGUUGGACACUUUGCUGUGAGCUUCCUAUCAUUAGCCUGUCAUUUGUGCCACCUUCCCUUCGAUUUGGCUUCAGAACGUGUCUCAAGGGGAUGAAAUUAACAUUGCCAGGAGUGUGUGGCUAUGAAGUCAACUCACUCAUGUGAAGUGGGAUUUAAAGGUGGUGUGGGACAAAAGGUCACCUAGGAUUAUCUGACGGCACACAUUCUUGAUGGAUGCAGAGAUGCGGGGCACUAGGAAGCAAAAAGUCAUCUCCACAGUGGAAAACUGGUCUUUCAUCCUUUUUGAAAAAGGACUCCAGCCAGAAGACAGAAAAGUACAGUCCUGGAAAUUACUGCAUCCUAGAGCUUGAAGAGAGAGAGCGGUGAUCUUCCCUUCUCUCAUUUUAUAGAGAGCUAGAACGAUUGUGUUGGCAUUGGUGCUUCUGAGAACCAGGUAUUAGCACCUGGUUUGGGACACGGUCAUGCUUGAGGGGAAGUAGGAAGACCAACUGGUACAACGUAAAACACUCUUGCUCAGGCCUUUCAGCAAAUGGUUAGGUACAAAGGCCAAGGGCAUUUUAGGUUCACUCUUACUCCUUUGCUCUGAGGAUUCUAAUUUCUUUUAGAAAAAUGAACUGACCUCCAGGCAAAGAAGGUAAAUUGAACUCUUUCUUAAUAUCUGCUCCCUCACCAAAAUGGCAAUGAGAGUUUUUAAAAGGGAUAACACCACCAACUUAGAGAAUGGAUAAAUAAAGAAUGAUAUGUCACCAUGUUUGCAUGGCCAUCAACUCAGAAUUACUUCAUGUACCCUUGGAGAAAGCAACAAGUACUUCUAAUUAAACUAUAACAUACUAUCCAAUGUAAGUCAUAUCAAUUUAAGAGAGAGGAAACCCAGAGGUAUUAACGCGUGAAAAAUCUUGGAACUGAGCAGUCUUAGAACUGCUAAAAUAGGGUACAUAGACAAGGUGGUAAAUAAUUUAUCAUAUCUAAGAAAAUAAGUCCUAAGCAGUAGAGAAGAAAAGAGCAUAAACCAAUUUAUAAGGAAAGUCUUGCAGAUGUUUAUGGGAGUGGGCAUAUGGGGCAUGAAGUCUAGCUUGCAAACAGGAGAUUGUUUGCAAAUCUGUUUAAAUAUCAGUCAGCCCCUAAAUUAUGACCCUAUCAUACACAGCUAGACAGAUUGCUUCCACCCAACACUGGCAAAGACUAGAGGUGAAUUAUCUGAAGACGAUGAAAUUAGAGUCUCUUAACUCAGAGGUACAAGGAAUAGCAUUAAAGUGGGUAUUGGAAGUUGGUAGGGGGAAUAAGUGAAAUUUUACUUACUACAUUUUGAGGCUCUCCUUUUCACCUUGCCCCCAGCCUCUACCCAUACACGGUUUUCAGAAUAGGGGCAAACACAUGUUCAAACUCAAAGCUGGAGCUUGAGAGAGCCUCGUCUGGAGUUCUGCAUGGAAGAAUCAUGUAGCGCUUUUCCUAGAAGAGCACAGCUUACCAGCUCUACUCACCAAGAGUCUGAUCAGCUCUCUGAAUUCCCACUCAAAUAGAAGUAGCCCGCUGGAGACCUUGAUAUGUUCGAAAGCCUAUAACAUGAAAGACAGAGUCUAAAAUAAACUGAAAAUCCUCACAAAACAGGAACUAUGCAAAGAGAAGAAAACAUAACAUUAAUAUCACAGAGAG
ensembl:lincRNA